GGGUUGUGAGGUUAAGCGACUAAGCGUACACGGUGGAUGCCCUGGCAGUCAGAGGCGAUGAAGGACGUGCUAAUCUGCGAUAAGCGUCGGUAAGGUGAUAUGAACCGUUAUAACCGGCGAUUUCCGAAUGGGGAAACCCAGUGUGAUUCGUCACACUAUCAUUAACUGAAUCCAUAGGUUAAUGAGGCGAACCGGGGGAACUGAAACAUCUAAGUACCCCGAGGAAAAGAAAUCAACCGAGAUUCCCCCAGUAGCGGCGAGCGAACGGGGAGCAGCCCAGAGCCUGAAUCAGUGUGUGUGUUAGUGGAAGCGUCUGGAAAGGCGCGCGAUACAGGGUGACAGCCCCGUACACAAAAAUGCACAUGCUGUGAGCUCGAUGAGUAGGGCGGGACACGUGGUAUCCUGUCUGAAUAUGGGGGGACCAUCCUCCAAGGCUAAAUACUCCUGACUGACCGAUAGUGAACCAGUACCGUGAGGGAAAGGCGAAAAGAACCCCGGCGAGGGGAGUGAAAAAGAACCUGAAACCGUGUACGUACAAGCAGUGGGAGCACAGAGCAAUCUGUGUGACUGCGUACCUUUUGUAUAAUGGGUCAGCGACUUAUAUUCUGUAGCAAGGUUAACCGAAUAGGGGAGCCGAAGGGAAACCGAGUCUUAACUGGGCGUUAAGUUGCAGGGUAUAGACCCGAAACCCGGUGAUCUAGCCAUGGGCAGGUUGAAGGUUGGGUAACACUAACUGGAGGACCGAACCGACUAAUGUUGAAAAAUUAGCGGAUGACUUGUGGCUGGGGGUGAAAGGCCAAUCAAACCGGGAGAUAGCUGGUUCUCCCCGAAAGCUAUUUAGGUAGCGCCUCGUGAAUUCAUCUCCGGGGGUAGAGCACUGUUUCGGCAAGGGGGUCAUCCCGACUUACCAACCCGAUGCAAACUGCGAAUACCGGAGAAUGUUAUCACGGGAGACACACGGCGGGUGCUAACGUCCGUCGUGAAGAGGGAAACAACCCAGACCGCCAGCUAAGGUCCCAAAGUCAUGGUUAAGUGGGAAACGAUGUGGGAAGGCCCAGACAGCCAGGAUGUUGGCUUAGAAGCAGCCAUCAUUUAAAGAAAGCGUAAUAGCUCACUGGUCGAGUCGGCCUGCGCGGAAGAUGUAACGGGGCUAAACCAUGCACCGAAGCUGCGGCAGCGACGCUGAUGCGUUGUUGGGUAGGGGAGCGUUCUGUAAGCCUGCGAAGGUGUGCUGUGAGGCAUGCUGGAGGUAUCAGAAGUGCGAAUGCUGACAUAAGUAACGAUAAAGCGGGUGAAAAGCCCGCUCGCCGGAAGACCAAGGGUUCCUGUCCAACGUUAAUCGGGGCAGGGUGAGUCGACCCCUAAGGCGAGGCCGAAAGGCGUAGUCGAUGGGAAACAGGUUAAUAUUCCUGUACUUGGUGUUACUGCGAAGGGGGGACGGAGAAGGCUAUGUUGGCCGGGCGACGGUUGUCCCGGUUUAAGCGUGUAGGCUGGUUUUCCAGGCAAAUCCGGAAAAUCAAGGCUGAGGCGUGAUGACGAGGCACUACGGUGCUGAAGCAACAAAUGCCCUGCUUCCAGGAAAAGCCUCUAAGCAUCAGGUAACAUCAAAUCGUACCCCAAACCGACACAGGUGGUCAGGUAGAGAAUACCAAGGCGCUUGAGAGAACUCGGGUGAAGGAACUAGGCAAAAUGGUGCCGUAACUUCGGGAGAAGGCACGCUGAUAUGUAGGUGAAGCGACUUGCUCGUGGAGCUGAAAUCAGUCGAAGAUACCAGCUGGCUGCAACUGUUUAUUAAAAACACAGCACUGUGCAAACACGAAAGUGGACGUAUACGGUGUGACGCCUGCCCGGUGCCGGAAGGUUAAUUGAUGGGGUUAGCGCAAGCGAAGCUCUUGAUCGAAGCCCCGGUAAACGGCGGCCGUAACUAUAACGGUCCUAAGGUAGCGAAAUUCCUUGUCGGGUAAGUUCCGACCUGCACGAAUGGCGUAAUGAUGGCCAGGCUGUCUCCACCCGAGACUCAGUGAAAUUGAACUCGCUGUGAAGAUGCAGUGUACCCGCGGCAAGACGGAAAGACCCCGUGAACCUUUACUAUAGCUUGACACUGAACAUUGAGCCUUGAUGUGUAGGAUAGGUGG
rnacentral:rRNA from 1 species